CGUCGGGUUUUAGGCUCUGAGAUUAAGGUACGCUGUCGCGUUUUGUGCACUAAGGUGGUAAUUGGGGCAGAACUUUCCGGCUUAGUUAAAAUGCAGGGGUUUCAAGAGACUUGUAGUGGUAGGUCCACGUCCGCUUUGAAAACCUCUUGGUUGGAAAACCUGAGGGGCCUUAGGUGUUCCUGAGGUCACGAGGCGGCCACGUGCAGCCCUGGGUGGCGAGCCUGAAGCCGAGCGCGCCCGGGUCGUGGGCCCUCGGGCAAAGGUCGCGAAACCCGCUGUCGGUGUCAAGUAGCCAUCUUGAAUCUACUCCGCCACUGUUAAAUAGUAACACCGCAUCCUGAAACUCCCCCAUUUAGAUCCGGAAGGAGGCUGAACCAACUGUCCGAUGGAUGAUAGAAAACAUGACAUGAUAAUCAAGAAAUUAAGGUGAUAUGGGUGAAGUCCUGUUUGUUUAGAAUCCUGUGGUGUCCUGCCAAAAGGUGAUCUUAAAUCUCAACAGCUCGGGUAUUGAGUGCAAAUAAUGUUCUGGAAACUAUCAGUGUGGUGUUUUCAAUAUAGGUCUGAUGUUUUUGCUUAACUAUGGCGUUUAAGUAGAGAAUAAGUGAGCACUUCCUUGCUUGCUGUAAUUAAAUAAAAUGCUUGAUUCAUCUGGAGAAUCCAGGUUCUCUAAAAAGGAAGUGGAAAGGUAUUUGUUACGACAAAUAAUAAGUAACAGACUACUUUUUCUGGUAAGAGGUAGUAUGGAAGUAGUAUGAAUGAUGAUUAUUGGUGUAAGGUACUACAGUAUUUGGAGGGAAACAACAUUAAAGGCGGGUACCCAUAAGGGACAGCACAGUUACCACACAAAAGAUUAAGGCUACUAUACAAGAUGAACAACUAUGUACUUUAUUCACACAAAUGUGCACUGAACACUUGUGUCAUUUAAAAUUCACACUUAACGCUUAACAAGAGCUAUAAUAAAGACAUAUUAUGAACCAAGUAUUCUAUUCAAGUUUGAGCAAACUGUAGGCUGCCUGUUGGCUGUUUUAAAAGUGUCCCAACCUCUGGCCUAUUAAAAAUUCAAUAUAAAUGUUGCUUGCAUCUGCACUAUAGUUUAAUUAGAAAGGUGGCCUGUGCGAAGUUUCAGUAGAGAUAAAUUUUCUCCUCUAUUGCACAUUUUUUUCAAGCCCCUUGUGCAGGUGUGCACUGUGUAGCUCUCAUCUCUGUAGAUGUAAAUGCUUGAAAAGUUUUUCCUUUAUCAAAAAUCUUGAGCUUUUAGAAAAGUUUUAAUGUUAUGUGUGAUAUAGCAUUGCAGUUUUGUAAAGUAGUAAACUAUAAAGCACCUUUAUGUUAGCACCAGUUUUUUUUGCAAAGCUGAGGAUUUACAAAAAACGCAAGUAGAUGCAGUUGGGAAAGUAGCGAAGUACCAUUCAUGUGGAUUUAGCCUUUGAAGAGGCUUACUUAACUGGUCCUAAAGUUCACACUGACUUCUUUACCUGUCUUUAUGCAAAUCUUUCUUGGAUAUACAAAAACUGCUUAAAACUACUUAAGGCCUGAGGGGCAUGCCUUUUAUGUUUGGGCAAAGAUUUUGCAUUGCUAUCAAGAAUGUCCUGAAAGAGUCCAUAGUAAGCAGCUGUCCCUUACUGGGUUGGGAAAAUAGCCAAAGGAGAAAAUUGACUUUAGACAGCAGUAGAGGGGGAAAAUAACAUUGUCAGUACUGGGGCACCUAUUCUGAAGUUAACAUCCCACUGGCUUACCUUGGCCUCUAGGUCUGUUCGACAAUUUGAAAGCUAGGGAUACUGUAAAAUCUUAUCAGCCUUUUGAAAAUUGUCAGUGAGGUGCAUAGCCACUUAAUGCAGUGUCUAGCACAUAGCUGGAGUAUGAAUUAAAUCAGUUGGAACAAAUAAGAUAUUUUAGAGCUUUUUUUCCCCCACUACAUAAGCAGAGAAAGCAUUUUUUUAAUAGUGUGUCUUUAUUAGCUGGGACAGGAUAGUGGAAAUCUACGUGUUUUAGUCAUUAUAAGAAAGUUGCAAUAGAUGGCACUCUUAAGUCAUGGUACAGCAAAUCGCAUGAUGCCAAGGAAAAAUUUUAUCAAGCCGAAAGUAACUGCUAGAGGAUGUUAACAAAUAAGGUGGAUAAAUUAGGUUGUAUAUCCCAACAACUUGAAGGCAUUCUUUACUAUCAGGUAUUCCAAAUUUUGCUAGGUAACUAGAAUGUGUUGCCAUAGUGCAUGGUACAAAGGCUUUAUUCAGGAAUGUAUUGUGACUGAUCCUAUUCCAGUCUAGGUUUAUAAUGGAUUCCUUCACUUUUUGGGCCUUGACUUCCUCACUUGUCAAAGGCUACAGAGAGUCAAUGUGGAAAUUUCUCAGCCUUUUGAAGAAAAUCUGAGCUUAAUUACACAAUAUCACUUAAGUGUAGUAAAGAGUAUUGAUUGAAUUACAGACUCUUAAUCCAAAAGAAUAAAAACAGGCUUAUUGCACAACUGAUAUACAGUAAUCUCUGGAGAGUGCUGAGAAUAAAGACUUCCAACAAUGCUAAUCAAGAAUAAUUAGUACUACACUGAGGUAUCUAACAGAAUGUUCACAUCACAAAUUUCUCAAGCAGCAAUGGUGUACAUGAUUUAAUCACAACACAAAAGCAGAAACAUGGCUCUCAUCCCCAUAAGUUGGCAUCUCUGGCUGAGUGCUAAUGUAGAGGUUGAAAAUUUUCCAACAUACUUUCUCUUCAGGUUUCCAUGAAGAAUUAUAAUUUGGUGACACUUUUUAUCCAAGGUACAAAGGCUGAGACUUUGGUAUAGACACCAGGUGAAUCCUUGGCUCCACAGCCAUACCCCCAGGAGGUUAUCCCAUAUACAACCCAACUCUCUCCUGCCCGAACACACAUAAGCGGUCCUCCGCUGUCUCCCUGGCAGCUGUCAACACGUUUGUGUUCAUGUAGAUUCCCAGCACAGAGCAUCCUUCCUGUAAACCGACCCUUAUAACGUUCUUCACAAAACCUCUUGGGAAGUAGGGGGAUGCUUGCUUGUUGUAGAGUUCUUGAAUAGGCUCGUCCUAGUCGGACCAAAUAAUCUGAAUUAGAUGCCAGCUAAAGACCUUACAGAAAACAUUUAACAGUUAAAUGAACUUUUAAUCUUGAAAAUAAAAGCCUUAUUGUGAUUAGUGUAGUUUAAAUGAGUGAUAACUAAAUGGUAUAGAAGGACAUAAAGUGGCAAGAACUACUCUAAAUAGCAUGGUAGAAGCAUGGCAUUUCAUAAGAAUGGAGGAGCAAAACAUUACUAUAUAUCAAACAGGCCUAAGUUUGAGCAUUUGAAGUUUGUGUACUCUAUACUGGUAGCCACUCAUUGUUCAGUGGCUAAAAUGUAUAAUUGAUAAUAUUCUCCAUGAGCCUUUUCUUGGAUCUAAAUUCCAUUGUUUUUCUUGUACCCUAUUAAUUGUAAUAACUCCUAAUAAAACAUUGUGUAAAGUUGA